GCCUGCCAAAUGGAAAUAAUUCCAGGAUCAAAGAAAGAAAACCUAUUUGUUUGGUAAUCAAGCGUCAAGAACGUUUCCUUCGCUUUUCUGCUGAAAUAACGUUCGGUUUCAAUUGAACGUUUUAAUCACAUUGUGACUUUCGCGAAAUGCAUGAAAAGUCUCGUUUCCUAUCGAACCUCUCAGCAGAAUUUCAUUCUUCGUCAAUGACUUGGAGAUUUUUUUUCAAUAAACUUCUUCUCUCUUUUCUUUUUCUUGGUCUUUUUUUUUUCUUUUUUCGUUUGGAGCUUGCAAGACUUCUCUUCAUCGAUUUACAUUCAUGCAGCACCCGUAGCUCCCUUCGUUGUAUUUUUACUUCAUUGUGUCCUCUCGCGUGGAAUUCAGUAAUGAAGCAGAAACGCGGCCCCUAACGUCGACAGGCUGAAAAGCUCGGUUUCCAUUCGCCAUCGUUCGUCGCGAUUAACCAACUGAACACGCUCCGAUCGCACGUUCGACGCCUUUCGGGGAAAAGCUAGCACGGUGGGAGGAACACGUAACGCGAACGUGUUCCUAUAAAAUAACACACAAUACCGGAUGAUUGCAGUGUUCAGCGUAUCGAAACCCGUUGCGAGAACUUGCUGCCUUUAUCCCGAGAGUAACGGUUCGAUCAGAAGCAUGCAGAUUUAUGUAAUGCCUCGGAGGGCGAACCGUUUUCCCACGGCGAUUGUUAUCGCGUUCUGACUGUCUGAAAAGUGGUUAUAAACUUUCUGCAAGGUUUAACGAAUUCUGAAAACUUUGAUGGAAGCUACUGAAGUCACUACGUUUGAAUUUAAGAGCGGAGAGCAACAAAAAGAAACUGCAGAUUCUUUUAUCGACUAAAUAAGAAAGGAUUCCGGCUUCAUUAUUCUAGCAUUGUUCGACGGAUGCCUUUCAAGGAGAAGCAGAAAGAAAUCGUUUCAAUAACGAUCGCGAGACAAUAAAAAAUAUCUUUACUUUGGAAUAAAAGCGAUCGAUGUCGAAGAACAGGGACGCGAUGUCGUUUCGCUUCACGUGCAAGAAAGGAAACGGACGUUAAAAGCUUGGCUCGACGACGUGAACCGGUCCGCGAAUCGCGGUGUUAACUUAAUUAAACGCAGUUUUAAAUUGGCGUCGCGGAGAGAAAGGUGAAUGGCGUGCCUUCUGCCAUCGAUUAAUUUGCUAAUUUAUAACGAGGAAAUUUUCCGAUGCAGACUAAUUGAAACGUUGCCGCGUCACUGAGAAUAAUGUCCGCACUUGUUCCGUUUAUUUCGUUGUGGCACGCCACGAGUUUUCUCUCUCUCUCUCUCUCCCAUUUGCAACACGUUAAAACAACUUUUGCAUAAUUCCGAGUUCGCUGAAUAUUAUAUUUUAUGUACACUACAUGCGUCUCGUUUUUUUCAUUCGAUUUACGUCGGCAGACAGUUCUCUGCGACGAAUAGAGCGUGUAAUCAACCCUUUUAACCACGGAUCAGAAUCAACAAAAUCAUACGAUAAAUUGUUAUUUAAAGAGGAGUGGUCACACCUGUCUACGUUGCGAAUAUUUAUAUUUUUUUAUUUGCGGGGGUAAACUCGUCAUAUUGUUAUACAUGGAGUUCGAAGGAAAUUACUAUAAUUAAACUGCGGAUGUUUAUUGUACGUUUGUUGGAAAUUUAAAUAAGGGAAAAUGUGAAAAUGUGAAAAUAUACAUAAUGUACAAAAAAGCAUACACAGUAUCAAAAGUAAAAUAUGUACUCGUAAUAAUAAUAUUUUGAGGGUGAAAGAAAUUUCUAUUCAUGUUCCAGUGGUUUAGCGUUAUGAUCGUGUGAGUAUGAAUUUCUAUAAAAAUUCACGGUCUAACCAUAGUACACGCCACAGAGAGUGUUUCCAAGAUGAUAAGGAUUAACUAAAUAGAUCAUUUUCCGACGAACAAAGUUGGUACGAUUAAUCAUUCAAGAGCUGGAUACAAUGUAUUUGAAUGUUUUUUCAAGUAUAUAACAAGUACAAUAUAUAAGUAAAAUACGAGAAUGCAAAUUGAAGAAUAUGCAACUUAAAUCAUGUUCUUGAAAUUGAAAUGUCAGGCAAAUGUAACCAAUGUGACUGAGAGUGCUAAAAAUUCUCACUUUUAUUCAUUUA